GGAUGAGCCCGCGGCCUAUCAGCUUGUUGGUGGGGUAAUGGCCUACCAAGGCGUCGACGGGUAGCCGGCCUGAGAGGGUGUCCGGCCACACUGGGACUGAGAUACGGCCCAGACUCCUACGGGAGGCAGCAGUGGGGAAUAUUGCACAAUGGGCGCAAGCCUGAUGCAGCGACGCCGCGUGAGGGAUGACGGCCUUCGGGUUGUAAACCUCUUUCAGUAGCCACGAAGCGAAAGUGACGGUAGCUACAGAAGAAGGACCGGCCAACUACGUGCCAGCAGCCGCGGCCG
rnacentral:rRNA from 1 species